rnacentral:rRNA from 1 species
ACGAACGCUGGCGGCGUGCCUAAUACAUGCAAGUAGAACGCUGAAGGAGGAGCUUGCUUCUCUGGAUGAGUUGCGAACGGGUGAGUAACGCGUAGGUAACCUGCCUGGUAGCGGGGGAUAACUAUUGGAAACGAUAGCUAAUACCGCAUAAGAGUAGAUGUUGCAUGACAUUUACUUAAAAGGUGCAAUUGCAUCACUACCAGAUGGACCUGCGUUGUAUUAGCUAGUUGGUGAGGUAACGGCUCACCAAGGCAACGAUACAUAGCCGACCUGAGAGGGUGAUCGGCCACACUGGGACUGAGACACGGCCCAGACUCCUACGGGAGGCAGCAGUAGGGAAUCUUCGGCAAGGGACGGAAGUCUGACCGAGCAACGCCGCGUGAGUGAAGAAGGUUGUCGGAUCGUAAAGCUCUGUUGUAAGAGAAGAACGAGUGUGAGAGUGGAAAGUUCACACUGUGACGGUAUCUUACCAGAAAGGGACGGCUAACUACGUG